rnacentral:rRNA from 1 species
GACAGAGGAGCCAAGCGUUGUCCGGAAUCAUUGGGCGUAAAGAGCGUGUAGGCGGCCCGGUAAGUCCGCUGUGAAAGUCGGGGGCUCAACCCUCGAAUGCCGGUGGAUACUGUCGGGCUAGAGUGCGGAAGAGGCGAGUGGAAUUCCUGGUGUAGCGGUGAAAUGCGCAGAUAUCAGGAGGAACACCAAUUGCGAAGGCAGCUCGCUGGGACGUAACUGACGCUGAGACGCGAAAGCGUGGGGAGCAAACAGG